rnacentral:rRNA from 1 species
GACGAACGUUGGCGGCGUGCCUAAUACAUGCAAGUCGAGCGCAGGAAACUGACGGAACUCUUCGGAGGGAAGGCAGUGGAAUGAGCGGCGGACGGGUGAGUAACACGUAAGGAACCUGCCUCAAGGAUUGGGAUAACUCCGAGAAAUCGGAGCUAAUACCGGAUAGUUCAUCGGACCGCAUGGUCCGUUGAUGAAAGGCGCUUCGGCGUCACCUUGAGAUGGCCUUGCGGUGCAUUAGCUAGUUGGUGGGGUAACGGCCCACCAAGGCGACGAUGCAUAGCCGACCUGGGAGGGUGAUCGGCCACACUGGGACGGAGACACGGCCCAGACUCCUACGGGAGGCAGCAGUAGGGAAUCUUCCACAAUGGACGAAAGUCUGAUGGAGCAACGCCGCGUGAGUGAUGAAGGUUUUCGGAUCGUAAAACUCUGUCGUAAGGGAAGAACACGUACGAGAGGGAAUGCUCGUACCUUGACGGUACCUUACGAGAAAGCCACGGCUAACUACGUGCCAGCCGCCGCAGUAA